UAGUCCACGCCGUAAACGAUGAGCACUAGUUGUGGGGUAGGUUACUAUUCCGCGAUGAAGCAAACGCAUUAAGUGCUCCGCCUGGGGAGUACGGCCGCAAGGCUAAAACUCAAAGGAAUUGACGGGGGCCCGCACAAGCGGUGGAUCAUGUGGUUUAAUUCGAAGCAACGCGAAGAACCUUACCUGGGUUUGAAAUCCCGAGAAUCCCUCUGAAAGGAGGGAGUGCCCUUCGGGGAAUUCGGUGACAGGCGCUGCAUGGCUGUCGUCAGCUCGUGUUGUGAAAUGUUGGGUUAAGUCUCGCAACGAGCGGAACCCCUAUCUUUAGUUGCCAGCAUUAAGUUGGGCACUCUAGAGAGACCGCCGGGGUUUAACCCGGAGGAAGGUGGGGAUGACGUCAAGUCCUCAUGGCCCUUAUAUCCAGGGCUACGACACGUGAUACAAUGGAUAGCACAGAGGGAAGCGAACCCGCGAGGGAAUUGCAAAUCUCAAAAACUAUUACUCAGUCCGGAUUGGAGU
rnacentral:rRNA from 1 species